AGUGAACGCUGGCGGUAGGCCUAACACAUGCAAGUCGAACGGCAGCACAGUAAGAGCUUGCUCUUACGGGUGGCGAGUGGCGGACGGGUGAGGAAUACAUCGGAAUCUACUUUUUCGUGGGGGAUAACGUAGGGAAACUUACGCUAAUACCGCAUACGACCUACGGGUGAAAGCAGGGGAUCUUCGGACCUUGCGCGAUUGAAUGAGCCGAUGUCGGAUUAGCUAGUUGGCGGGGUAAAGGCCCACCAAGGCGACGAUCCGUAGCUGGUCUGAGAGGAUGAUCAGCCACACUGGAACUGAGACACGGUCCAGACUCCUACGGGAGGCAGCAGUGGGGAAUAUUGGACAAUGGGCGCAAGCCUGAUGCAGCAAUACCGCGUGGGUGAAGAAGGCCUUCGGGUUGUAAAGCCCUUUUGUUGGGAAAGAAAAGCAGCAGGUUAAUACCCCGCUGUUCUGACGGUACCCAAAGAAUAAGCAACGGCUAACUUCGUG
rnacentral:rRNA from 1 species